GUGGGGAAUUUUGCGCAAUGGGGGAAACCCUGACGCAGCAACGCCGCGUGGAGGAUGAAGUAUCUUGGUACGUAAACUCCUUUCGAUGGGGACGAUUAUGACGGUACCCAUAGAAGAAGCCCCGGCUAACUUCGU
rnacentral:rRNA from 1 species